GAUAGUAUUACUUUGAGAGUCUUGUAUAGAUGUCUUGAUGAGAAUAAGAUCUAAAUCAAAUAAUAUCUUCGUCCAUAAGUAUAAUCUUAUUUCUACUUUUGCACGUUUACAAAAGUUAAGAUUUUUUUUUUAAAUUUUUUAUCGAAAAUGAUCUUUUAUAUUUUAAACUUCAUUCAUACUUAAUAUUAAUUUACAAAAUAUUCAACCAUUU
rnacentral:lncRNA from 1 species